CGAUAACCUUCUCCCUCGGCCUGCACUUUCUCCUCGGCUCCGAACAUAACCGACUCCGCCUUUAAGAGGUUAAUACAAGUGAGAUAGAAGAAAUUGCCAAGUUGCUUUCCACAGCAGCUGAGCCAUUUUUGCAUUCCUACCAGCAAGAGCUGGGAUGAAGAUGUCCACAUUCUGGCUUCUACAUCAUAAUAUCAUGACAUCAACAUUUCAGAAUCCUAUGCCUUAGGCAGCUCUUUUUACUUUAUAUGCCUUUUUCCACGACUUCUGGGAAAAGAAUCCUCGUUCUAGGACUGCAUUGAUCAAUUCUCUCCUACCUCAGUUUCCUUUCACCAUAUGUAAAAUGAAAGACUCUUGAUCUCCAAAAAAAUCUUCCAAUUGUAACACUGUCUGCAUCUAUAAGAAGUAAAAUUAAUCAUCCUGUGUAUUGGAUGCAUGGAAUUUUUGUAUGAAGAAGGAAAGAAGUUUGGCUUCAGAAAGAUUCCAGAAGCAAUUGACUUGGUCCUUGGAAAAGAAAGGGGAGAUUUGGUGGAAACGAGUGAAGAGAGUUGGUUUCUCUCUGCUAUUACCUGAAGAAAGCUAAAAGCAGACAUUGGACAGUUGUCCUAGCUGCAUCUUUUAGGGUCCUGUCACUACUGGCAUUAAUAAUUCUGGGGUGGAGCCAAGAAUGGAGGAAAUAUACAUUGUGGUUGUUUGUGGUGAUUUCAUGAACAUGAAGCUCAUGCUGCUUACUGUGCUGUGGGCAAUAAAGUCCUUUGUCUCUGACUUGGGAGACUCGUUGUAUAGAAGGAGAAAAUGGGGAUCAGAAAUAUUAAAUACCUUGCAAAGAUCACAUAGCAAGCAAGUUGCACCGCUGGAUUCAGAACUGAAUUCUGUCUAACUCCAAGUAGGUUCUGCUCUACCAUGUCCAAGAUGAUACAGAGCAAAGGGCCAUCCUCAAGAGCACAGGCUCUCCUUUUCUACAUCAUUCUAUAAUGUCAAGAGAAACAGAAUAAAAAGAAAGAAUAAUCAGGGUCAAAAGACCAGAGGGCCCAACUCUGAUCUGUGCUGUGUGGCUGAUGAGGCCCCGGGCUCCAGAGUAUCUGACAAGACAUCAAUGGAAUCGAUGUGGCUAAAUUAAAAUGUGAAGAACAUACCAUGUUUUACACGCAGCUCUUGGGAGAGAGGAGACACAGCCAGCAGGAUCUCAAAAAGCAUGAAAAGACUGAGCUGGUCAGCAAAGCUCUGAAACUGGCAGACACGGGGGCCAGCAGAAAUUGAUGAGAAUCCAGACAUACAAAUAAGUAGAAAGAACAAGCAAAGCAGAGUUGAAUUUCUAAUUUUCUACACUAGCGCUACAAGAUAAUUGAAUGUAAGAGAAAGCACAACCAUGCAGACAAUGAGCAAGUAAAACUAACAGAUACACAUAUAAGUACUAAAUUGACAAGUCUUAUGAGAUGAGAAAGACAAGGGAGUGCUGAGAUAGAGAAUAAUAAAAAAGACCUAUUAUUA